UUCAUAUCUCAUUGUUCUAGGGAGAGAUGUCCCAUGAGAGACUAUUUAAUAGCGGUGUGGCUUGCUCUCAAGGGCUGUGACAUCCUGCCUCUGGCUGACAGGACAGGUGAGUGUCAUUCCUGGAGGAAUACUCCUUCCUGCCUCUACAGAGGAGCAUGGAUUAAAAAAAAAAAUCCUCCUCUAGAGAGACUGAACAUAUCAUUUCUUUGACGUGCUUAGCCUUUGCUGACCAGACAAACCCCCGUGAGCCAAGGUUUGUAUAAGGUGACAGCAUAUUACCCUCUCGUUGCUCUUCCCUCAGCUCUGGUUUGUUGUCCCUUUUUUUGGGAAGAAGUGGAGUUAAUACUUUGUUGCAUGAAGGACUAGAAAAACAUAGUAUCCUGGAUCCUUUUAGUUAAAGGAUUAAUUACCUAAAAUAUUUUUGAGCUCAAUUUGAGCAGUUGCUUUUAUAAACUUCAGAAUAUUAUCUAUUGUGAUUGAAAUCAUUGCAUCAGGAUUUAUGAAAACUGAGCUCAGUCCUUGUCUGAACCUACUUUCUGUAGAUUGAUUGGCCAUAUUGUUCUCUAGCAUCUGACAGACCGCAGAAGAAUAUUAGGCAUGAAACAUUAAUCAGGAAAUUAUGCAUUGCUUUCACAAUUAAUGUGCAACUGGACUUUACUUUGCAAUAUUGUAUUAGCUCUUAACAUGCAAAUUAUUGUAGGUAAUUACCUCAUUUUUCAGUGGCCAUUUGAUGGAUUGAAGUUUCAUGCAGAAUGUUCUGUGUAAUUUAAAAUCUUGCAAUGAGUUGCUUUUUUUUUUUUUUUUUUUAAGAAUCUUAGUUUUUUUUAUCAUACACCAGGCAUGAAGAGCCUGCGGCACUGUAACACCUAAUGUACAAAGUUCAAUUUCUCAAUUCUUUUAACUGUAACUAGAGUUGGCAAUUUGGUCAAGUGUUUCAGUAAAGAUGUCUCUUACUGCAGUAUGUUUAAAAAAAUAGAAAUAGCCUGUGGUGCUAUUUAUAGCAUAUAAGUCAAGCUUCCUUUUUACCGUCUGCUUAAAACAAAAGUGAAGUGGUAGUCUAACAUUUUUAUUCUGUGAUACAUGAAAGUGUUAUAUUCAAUGAUCUGUGGUCAAUCAAGUAAUAUACAUCAAUUGGAAAUAUACUGUUACAUGAUUAAAUGUUAGAAUGCUUCAGUAGCUUUAAAUUUAACAGUCCUGGACUUUUUUCUUUCUUAUUUUUUCUUCUUGGUCACAUGUUCACACUGCUACAUGUCAGAAAGGCAUUAUCAUAAUAAACAUAAUGUAUUAGCAGGUUUUUGACCUGUA
rnacentral:lncRNA from 1 species